rnacentral:rRNA from 1 species
AGUGAACGCUGGCGGUAGGCCUAACACAUGCAAGUCGAACGGCAGCACAGUAAGAGCUUGCUCUUACGGGUGGCGAGUGGCGGACGGGUGAGGAAUACAUCGGAAUCUACUUUUUCGUGGGGGAUAACGUAGGGAAACUUACGCUAAUACAGCAUACGACCUACGGGUGAAAGCAGGGGUUCUUCGUACCUUGCGCGAUUGAAUGAGCCGAUGUCGGAUUAGCUAGUUGGCGGGGUAAAGGCCCACCAAGGCGACGAUCCGUAGCUGGCCUGAGAGGAUGAUCAGCCACACUGGAACUGAGACACGGUCCAGACUCCUACGGGAGGCAGCAGUGGGGAAUAUUGGACAAUGGGCGCAAGCCUGAUCCAGCCAUACCGCGUGGGUGAAGAAGGCCUUCGGGUUGUAAAGCCCUUUUGUUGGGAAAGAAAAGCAGCAGGUUAAUACCCCGCUGUUCUGACGGUACCCAAAGAAUAAGCACCGGCUAACUUCGUG